rnacentral:rRNA from 1 species
UUCCACCUCUUCCCAUUCCGAACAGAGAAGUUAAGCCUGAUCACGCCGAUGGUACUGCGUAACAGUGGGAGAGUAGGUAGUCGCCGUUU